rnacentral:rRNA from 1 species
CUUAACACAUGCAAGUCGAGGGGCAGCAUGGUCUUAGCUUGCUAAGGCCGAUGGCGACCGGCGCACGGGUGAGUAACACGUAUCCAACCUGCCGUCUACCCUUGGACAGCCUUCUGAAAGGAAGAUUAAUACAAGAUGGCAUCAUGAGUCCACAUGUUCACAUGAUUAAAGGUAUUCCGGUAGACGAUGGGGAUGCGUUCCAUUAGAUAGUAGGCGGGGUAACGGCCCACCUAGUCUUCGAUGGAUAGGGGUUCUGAGAGGAAGGUCCCCCACAUUGGAACUGAGACACGGUCCAAACUCCUACGGGAGGCAGCAGUGAGGAAUAUUGGUCAAUGGGCGAGAGCCUGAACCAGCCAAGUAGCGUGAAGGAUGACUGCCCUAUGGGUUGUAAACUUCUUUUAUAAAGGAAUAAAGUCGGGUAUGCAUACCCGUUUGCAUGCACUUUAUGAAUAAGGAUCGGCUAACUCCGUGCCAGCAGCCGCGGUAAUACGGAGGAUCCGAGCGUUAUCCGGAUUUAUUGGGUUUAAAGGGAGCGUAGAUGGAUGUUUAAGUCAGUUGUGAAAGUUUGCGGCUCAACCGUAAAAUUGCAGUUGAUACUGGAUAUCUUGAGUGCAGUUGAGGCAGGCGGAAUUCGUGGUGUAGCGGUGAAAUGCUUAGAUAUCACGAAGAACUCCGAUUGCGAAGGCAGCCUGCUAAGCUGCAACUGACAUUGAGGCUCGAAAGUGUGGGUAUCAAACAGGAUUAGAUACCCUGGUAGUCCACACGGUAAACGAUGAAUACUCGCUGUUUGCGAUAUACAGCAAGCGGCCAAGCGAAAGCGUUAAGUAUUCCACCUGGGGAGUACGCCGGCAACGGUGAAACUCAAAGGAAUUGACGGGGGCCCGCGCAAGCGGAGGAACAUGUGGUUUAAUUCGAUGAUACGCGAGGAACCUUACCCGGGCUUAAAUUGCAGAUGAAUUACGGUGAAAGCCGUAAGCCGCAAGGCAUCUGUGAAGGUGCUGCAUGGUUGUCGUCAGCUCGUGCCGUGAGGUGUCGGCUUAAGUGCCAUAACGAGCGCAACCCUUGUUGUCAGUUACUAACAGGUCAUGCUGAGGACUCUGACAAGACUGCCAUCGUAAGAUGUGAGGAAGGUGGGGAUGACGUCAAAUCAGCACGGCCCUUACGUCCGGGGCUACACACGUGUUACAAUGGGGGGUACAGAGGGCCGCUACCACGCGAGUGGAUGCCAAUCCCAAAAACCUCUCUCAGUUCGGACUGGAGUCUGCAACCCGACUCCACGAAGCUGGAUUCGCUAGUAAUCGCGCAUCAGCCACGGCGCGGUGAAUACGUUCCCGGGCCUUGUACACACCGCCCGUCAAGCCAUGGGAGCCGGGGGUACCUGAAGUGCGUAACCGCGAGGAGCGCCCUAGGGUAAAACUGGUGACUGGGGCUAAGU